GCAGCCCACCGCGUCGUGGGCGCCCGCCGGGGUACCCCGCGGCUGUCGCCGCACCCUGCGCCGCCGCCUGCGCCUUCCUGCCUCGCGUGGGGCCGGGCACCGCCUCCCCCCUGCUUCCCUCUCCGCUGCGGUCAUGUAGGAAAUCGUAAAUCAUGUGAAGAUGGGACUCUUGGUGUUUGUGCGCAACCUGCUGCUAGCCCUCUGCCUCUUCCUUGUGCUGGGAUUUUUGUAUUACUCUGCAUGGAAGCUGCACUUCUUCCAGUGGGAGGACUCAAAUUCAGUGGUUCUUUCCUUUGACUCCGCUGGACAGACGCUAGGCUCAGAGUAUGAUCGGCUGGGCUUCCUCCUGAAGCUGGACUCGAAACUGCCUGCUGAGUUAGCCACCAAGUACGCAAAUUUCUCCGAGGGAGCGUGCAAGCCCGGCUAUGCUUCCGCCCUGAUGACCGCCAUCUUCCCCCGGUUCUCCAAGCCAGCACCCAUGUUCCUGGAUGACUCCUUCCGCAAGUGGGCUAGGAUCCGGGAGUUUGUGCCGCCUUUUGGGAUCAAAGGUCAAGACAAUCUGAUCAAAGCCAUCUUGUCAGUCACCAAAGAGUACCGCCUGACCCCAGCCCUGGACAGCCUCCGCUGCCGCCGCUGCAUCAUCGUGGGCAAUGGAGGGGUCCUCGCCAACAAGUCCCUGGGGUCACGGAUUGAUGACUACGACAUUGUGGUCAGACUGAACUCAGCUCCAGUGAAGGGCUUUGAGAGGGACGUGGGCAGCAAGACCACUCUGCGCAUCACCUACCCCGAGGGCGCCAUGCAGCGGCCAGAGCAGUAUGAGCGCGACUCUCUCUUCGUCCUGGCUGGCUUCAAGUGGCAGGACUUCAAGUGGCUGAAGUACAUCGUCUACAAGGAGAGAGUGAGUGCAUCGGACGGCUUCUGGAAGUCUGUGGCCACCCGGGUGCCCAAGGAGCCCCCCGAGAUUCGCAUCCUCAACCCGUAUUUCAUCCAGGAGGCUGCCUUCACCCUCAUCGGGCUGCCCUUCAACAAUGGCCUCAUGGGCCGGGGGAACAUCCCGACCCUUGGCAGCGUGGCAGUGACCAUGGCGCUACACGGCUGUGAUGAGGUGGCCGUCGCUGGCUUUGGCUACGACAUGAGCACCCCCAACGCACCCCUGCACUACUACGAGACCGUGCGCAUGGCCGCCAUCAAAGAGAUACUUCCUGAGCACCUACUCUGUGCCCAACAAUCCCUGCCCUCAGAGAAAGAUGGUGAGCCUGAGGCCUGAGUCGUCACAGACCAGGGGUGAAUCACCCCGGGUCUGCACCAGACAGAAGGCAGAGCCGCAGUCGUGGACGCACAAUAUCCAGCGAGAGAAGGAGUUCCUACGGAAGCUGGUGAGAGCGCAUGUCAUCACGGACCUAAGCAGCGGCAUCU